GCCAGGCGUGGUGGCGGGUGCCUGUAAUCCCAGCUACUCAGGGAGGCUGAGGCAGGAGAAUUGCUUGAACCCAGGAGGCGGAGCUUGCAAUGAGCCGAGAUCGUGCCACUGCACUCCAGCCUGGGCGACAGAGUGGGACCCUGUCUCAAAAAGAAAAAAAAAAAAGAGAGAUGGAAUGUCACUGUCAUCCAGGCGGGAGUGCAGUAAUAUGAUCUUGGCUCACUGCACCCUUGGCCUCCUGGGUUCAAGCGAUUCUCCUGCCUCAAU
rnacentral:SRP_RNA from 1 species